UUGACACCUCAUUCAUCGGUCUACGACAAAAGGUGCGGGACGAGUUACGCGCCAAAGUUUUGUUCAGGUGAAUAGUAAUUACAAUACUAGAAUGUACAUUUCCUGAAGAAAAUGUGAAUGGUGCUUGCAGUGGCAAAACUCGGCACUCGGUUGCUACGGUGUUUCUAGGCAAUUGCUAAGGAGUUCUGGGUGGUUGCUAGGCGGUUGCUAUGGUAACCUGGGUGGUUGCUAGGCAGUUGCUAAGGUACUUGGGGUGGUUGCUAAGGUGUUGCUAGGCGGUUGCUAAGGUGUUCUGGGUGGUUGCUAGGCGGUUGCUAUGGUAACCUGGGUGGUUGCUAGGGUGUUGCUAGGCAGUUGGUAAGGUACUUGGGGCAGUUGCUAAGGUGUUGCUAGGCGGUUGCUAGGGUGUUAUGGGUGGUUGCUAGGCAGUUGCUAUGGUAACCUGGGUGGUUGCUAUGAUGUUACUAGGUGGUUGGUAGUUGUCACAGAUGGUUACUAUGGUGUUUUUAUAGAGUUCUUAGCAUGUUCUUAGCCCACUUUAGCUAAUCACCAUUAGCAUGUAGCUAUUCACUGCUAGCAUGUUUAGCAUGUUGGAAGUCCAGUUUGCUAGCAUGAGUCAAAAGAGCCAACCGCCAUUACUCUACGAUGCUCUGAUGCAGAGAUAUAGGUCUUGCUAAACGGUUGCUAGGGUACUCUGUUUGGUUGCUAGGGAGUGGCUUAGCAGCUGCCAAUGAUGAUACGCCAAAGGCUGCUUGCCAAUAUAAGCCAACCCCCAUGUCUCUACGAUGUUCUAAUGCAGAGAUAUAGGUCUGGCAAAACGGUUGCUAGGGUACUCUGUUUGGUUGCUAGGGAGUGGCUUGGCAGCUGCCAAUGAUGAUACUCCAAAGGCUGCUUGCCAAUAUAAGCCAACCGCCAUGUCUCUACGAUGUUCUGAUGCAGAGAUAUAGGUCUUGAAAAACGGUUGCUAGGGUACUCUGUUUGGUUGCUAGGGAGUGGCUUAGCAGCUGCCAAUGAUGAUACACCAAAGGCUGCUUGCCAAUAUAAGCCAACCGCCAUGUCUCUACGAUGUUCUGAUGCAGAGAUAUAGGUCUUGCAAAACGGUUGCUAGGGUACUCUAUUUGGUUGCUAGGGAGUGGCUUGGCAGCUACCAAUGAUGAUACUCCAAAGGCUGCUUGCCAGUAUGAAUGAUAUAAACCAACCCCCAUGCCUCUAUGAUAUUCAGAUUUGAAGAUAUCCCUCUAUGCUUUGGGUUGCUAGGGUGCUCUAAAUGGUUGCUAGGGCGUGGCUAUGAAGUCUUGAAGGUGAUUCGUGAUUGGCCGUUUGCUGUCCUGAGUCAAAUGAGCCCACCCUCAUGUUCCUAUGACACUUCUAUCCAAAGGAAUAUCUUUGAUCUUUUUGAAUGGAAGUCUAUGGAACCUGUUGCUAUGGUGCUCUAUAUGGUUGCUAGGGCGUGGCUUGAUAGCGUCACAUUGAUCCUGAGAGACUGAUUGGUUGCCUGAGUGAAAUGAGCCCGCCCCCUUGUCUCUAUGACACUGUGAUCAAUAGUGAUAGAUGUGAGUGAGUGAGAGAAAGGGUUCUAAGGCCCUGCGUGUGUGUGCGUGUGUGAGAAAGUGACAGUUGAGAUUCAAAUUUCUGAACAUUCCGCCAUUGAAAGUCAAUGGGACUUUUUUGGCCGCUUUUUCGCCCCCUGUGCGAACAUCGUUGGGCCGAUCGCUUAUAAAAGUCAUAGCACACCUCUCCUCAAUGAGCCGGUCGAUUUGACACCUCAUUCAUGGGUCUAGGACAAAAACUGCGGGACAAGUUACGCGCCGAAGUUUUUGUCCAGAAGAAGAAGAAUAA